rnacentral:lncRNA from 1 species
AUAGGAUGUCGGCAAUCUCAGAAACCUCUGGGAGUCUGCUUUUCAUGUAGCAAACAACCUAGUAAGAAAAACUAGCUUUGGAGCCAGCCCCGGCUGGAAAAAAUGAAGCUAAAUGAAACUCUCUCCACAAUAUUGGGCUAAAACCUUUUGAUGUUUCUUGCUGAGCCUACCUGGCUAAUGCCAUCAGUGAAAGACAAAUCAGAACAGAUGAAGAAUGUGACUUUCAGGGGAUGAAUCACCAGAAGCCUGGAAGGAACUCCCUGCCAGCAGGAGGCGGCCAGCUCUAGCUUCCUGGGGCUUUGAAAAAGGCCUGGCUCAGCCCCGAGGCUGUGACAUGGUGGGGGAAAUGCUGGACUGAGAACCAGACACCUGGCUUUGAGAACGCAGGUCUGCUGUGAACUUGCUGAAUCUAUUCUCCUGUCUGUAAAACGGGGAUGAUAGUAAAGACAUUCUGGAAUUAAAUGAAAAUGAUAGGCUAUGUUACUCGUGUACUUGAUGUGA